GGACCUAGAGGGCCCCAUGUGGCCUGGAGGCUGCAGGUUCCCCACCACUGGACUAGACUCUAGUUACUAGAGUGAUAAGAGACAAGCCAGGAAUACCGAUGAAGCAGAGGAUUGGGGCCUGAACAAAGGUGGUGGAUGUAGCUGACAGUUAAAUGCCAUGGGAGCUGAUGUCACCAAGAAAGAAGCGUAGCCUACAUUACUUCAUUUAUAAAACAGGAAUAUAGGAGCACCUACCUCACGUGCUACUAACAGAAACCUCAGACUUCACUUUUGUCGGGAUGCUGGGUCAUGCUGGGAAAUGAGUGGAAAAUGUACCUUGGGUGUGUCUGUGCGUUUGUUUGCUACAGCAAAGUCAGCGAUGGCCUGGAAACAACAGGAGAUCUAAUGAAAAUCACAAAAACUAAGGGCUCUCACUGCUGAAAUCCUCCCAAUCCAGAACGCUUGGAUGAAAGAACAAGUCCCGUGCACGGCGCAGAUCUUUGUUUUUUAAGUGAUCCAGCCUCCCACUUCAUGGAGAAGACUGAGGGCACUGAAUGGGGCUCCUUCAAUGCCUCUCCUCUAGUCCUCAAAACUUGCCAUCCUCACUACGACUCCUUCUCUCUAAUCACAGAGGAAAAGGUCCCUCUUCUGUACUCUAGGGUGGAGGUUCCUAUAGCCAAUCCUACUCCCUCCCAACUCCCAGAUUAAAACAUAAUUGGGAAAUAUGUAGCAAAAUAAAUAAAA